rfam:Gillisia limnaea DSM 15749 genomic scaffold Gilliscaffold_2, whole genome shotgun sequence.
AAGAGCCGUAUGAAUCGAGAGGUUCACGUACGGUUCUGUGAGAGGCUCGGGGUGAAAUUCCCCUUGCCUACUCGAC